UACGUAGGUGGCAAGCGUUGUCCGGAUUUAUUGAGUUUAAAGGGUGCGUAGGCGGCUUUGUAAGUCAGCGGUGAAAUACUCUAGCUUAACUAGAGGGGUGCCAUUGAUACUGCGGAGCUUGAGUACAGAUGAGGUAGGCGGAAUUGACGGUGUAGCGGUGAAAUGCAUAGAUAUCGUCAAGAACACCGAUAGCGAAGGCAGCUUACUGGGCUGUAACUGACGCUGAUGCACGAAAGUGUGGGGAUCAAACAGG
rnacentral:rRNA from 1 species